UCAGGUUGGCACUUGGGGAUGAUGAGAGAACUGGAAACCAGGUCUGUUUUCAUAUGUAAAAUAUGCACCUCAGUCCCUUGUCCCAGGAUUCCAAACCAAACAGCACCCUUGGACUGGUGGUCCUGGGUGCUGUAAGAAAUUAGGCUGAGCCAACAAAGUGGGACAAGCCAGUAUGCAGCACCCUCCACGACUACUUCUUUAGUUCCUUCAGGAUUCUUUCCGCCUGGAGUUCUUGCCCUGACUUCCCUGAAUGAUGAAUUAUAAGCUGUAAAAUGAAAUAACCCAAGUUCUUAUUGGUCAUAUUGUUUUAUCAUGGCAAUAGAAACCCUAGGUCAAACAAGAGCCAUUCAGUGAUCCCAGGGGAAGUCAGGAGCUGAGAUUUCCUUCCAUAGUCAUCCAAAUUGAAGCAAGGAGGUAGGCUGUUUUAUUUUAUUACUGGCUAAUCUUUAGGGAGAAAUGCAAACUUUGGGCAAGACUUUUGGCUGAGAGCCAUAUGAAGAGGGCAAAGAACACUCAUUGCAGUUUACAGACUGCAUACGAUGUUCCUGAAGCAGGAUCCCACCCAUCUCCAGACCAUUACCUACUGAUCUUCCCAUUUCCUAACACUAAGAACUUGAAGGUAAAUUCCUACUGCUGAAGACGCCACACACUGUGCACAGAGGACUUGGAGGAAGCGAGCUGGAACUGACCUGGAAGCCUCCUUCUUAAGGAGUGGCUCUCACAUAUCAGUAGUUGCCAAGGGAGAGGAUGAUCAAUCAGUAGUCGUCGUUCCCUGUAAAGCCUGUGUACCACAACAAGGAUUGGACCGACAAGAUACGCUCAAAUCGUGGUGGUUCUGUCUGGGAGGUGAUUAACAACUGUCUAAUUGGGUUUCUGACCACUCACUGUAGGGAAAUACUGUUUGGUACUGUAAACCCUAGAGAGGUCAUAUCCCCAAAAUUAGUCUACUACUGCCAUAUCCUAAAUCAGUAUAAUUUCUAAUUUGUAUUCUAAUUACUUUUCCUUAGAGCCACAAAAAGAAGUGUAGCUCUCACUCAUCACCAAAGAAGCUUCCUUUUGCAACAUACAGAAACUAUUACGGAUAUCUACAACGGAUCAAAAUGUAGAGAGUAUGGGACCAUGCAGUGCCCUGCUACAAGUGGUGCAUCUGUGAUGCAACCCUCUACCUAGAGCCCAGGGAGAAUCAUGGAAGAAA
rnacentral:sRNA from 1 species